rnacentral:tRNA from 1 species
GUGUCUGUAGCUCAGUGGUAGAUAGAGUCUACUUCUAAGUAGAAGGUCGUAGGUUUAAUCCCUACCUAGCGCG